GGGCGCGUAGAUCAGCGGAAGAUCGCCUGAUUUGCAAUCAGGAGGUCUCGGGUUCAAAUCCCGACGCGUCCA
rnacentral:tRNA from 2 species